rnacentral:rRNA from 1 species
AGUGGCGGACGGGUGAGUAACGCGUGGGUAACCUGCCCCAUACAGGGGGAUAACAGUUAGAAAUGACUGCUAAUACCGCAUAAGACCACAGCACCGCAUGGUGCAGGGGUAAAAACUCCGGUGGUAUGAGAUGGACCCGCGUCUGAUUAGGUAGUUGGUGGGGUAACGGCCUACCAAGCCGACGAUCAGUAGCCGACCUGAGAGGGUGACCGGCCACAUUGGGACUGAGACACGGCCCAA